rnacentral:rRNA from 1 species
AUUGAACGCUGGCGGCAGGCCUAACACAUGCAAGUCGAGCGGAUGAAGGGAGCUUGCUCCUGGAUUCAGCGGCGGACGGGUGAGUAAUGCCUAGGAAUCUGCCUGGUAGUGGGGGAUAACGUCCGGAAACGGGCGCUAAUACCGCAUACGUCCUGAGGGAGAAAGUGGGGGAUCUUCGGACCUCACGCUAUCAGAUGAGCCUAGGUCGGAUUAGCUAGUUGGUGGGGUAAAGGCCUACCAAGGCGACGAUCCGUAACUGGUCUGAGAGGAUGAUCAGUCAAACUGGAACUAGGCAACGGUCCGGACUCCUACGGAGGCAGCAGUGGGGAAUAUUGGACAAUGGGCGAAAGCCUGAUCCAGCCAUGCCGCGUGUGUGAAGAAGGUCUUCGGAUCGUAAAGCACUUUAAGUUGGGAGGAAGGGCAGUAAGUUAAUACCUUGCUGUUUUGACGUUACCAACAGAAUAAGCACCGGCUAACUUCGUG